AGGAAUCUGCCUGGUAUUGGGGGAUAACGUUCGGAAACGGACGCUAAUACCGCAUACGUCCUACGGGAGAAAGCAGGGGACCUUCGGGCCUUGCGCUAUCAGAUGAGCCUAGGUCGGAUUAGCUAGUUGGUGGGGUAAUGGCUCACCAAGGCGACGAUCCGUAACUGGUCUGAGAGGAUGAUCAGUCACACUGGAACUGAGACACGGUCCAGACUCCUACGGGAGGCAGCAGUGGGGAAUAUUGGACAAUGGGCGAAAGCCUGAUCCAGCCAUGCCGCGUGUGUGAAGAAGGUCUUCGGAUUGUAAAGCACUUUAAGUUGGGAGGAAGGGUUGUAGAUUAAUACUCUGCAAUUUUGACGUUACCGACAGAAUAAGCACCGGCUAACUCUGUGCCAGCAGCCGCGGUAAUACAGAGGGUGCAAGCGUUAAUCGGAAUUACUGGGCGUAAAGCGCGCGUAGGUGGUUAGUUAAGUUGGAUGUGAAAUCCCCGGGCUCAACCUGGGAACUGCAUUCAAAACUGACUGACUAGAGUAUGGUAGAGGGUGGUGGAAUUUCCUGUGUAGCGGUGAAAUGCGUAGAUAUAGGAAGGAACACCAGUGGCGAAGGCGACCACCUGGACUGAUACUGACACUGAGGUGCGAAAGCGUGGGGAGCACACAGGAUUAGAUACCCUGGUAGUCCACGCCGUAACGAUGUCAACUAUCCGUUGGGAGCCUUGAGCUCUAGUGCGCAGCUAACGCAUUACGUUGA
rnacentral:rRNA from 1 species